rnacentral:sRNA from 1 species
UUAGUUUUGAGCCAGGCUGAAGUUGCGCGCAUCCAAUCCAAUCAGCUGUUGGGACAAAGUCCUGGCCCGGCACCUUCCGGUUUUCUAGGCCGGGCCAAACACCUGCAAGCCCGUCUGGCGAGUGUGUGUCAGGCGUGUAUUAAUUUUAUUACAUACAUGCACUAAUGUGUGUGUAUGUACUGUGCAACAAGUUGCAGUUGCUGUUGUCUUGACUACCUUUCCAGCGGAUAUUAUCACCUUUCAAGCAAAGCCAAGGCUGCACACUAUCUUAUGACCGAACCGGUUUGAAGCUGUAACUCAAAUUUAGCUAUUUAUUUAUAUUUAUAACAGCCAAACUUAUACCUGAACCGAACCAUAUAAUUUCAUGUGGAAACCAGAUUGUGUCGCUGACUUUAAUACUUUGCAACAUCGUCGAUCAUUUAUUUCGUUGGCUGGUCUGUCUCCCCAUCUCUCAGUCCGCCUUGCUGUCUAUCUGAGUGGCUGCCCGGCUGGUGGCAUGCAACGUUGGCGCGUUGCAGAAAAGCAUGUCGUACAAGCGUUGUCGUCUUGUAAACCAGCAACACAGGCAACAUGCAACAACUGCAGCAGUUGCCGCAACUGGGCAAGGUGGUGAAGAGAAUAACGCCGUUUCCUUCCACAAUUUCCAUG